rnacentral:rRNA from 1 species
UCCCUGGCUCAGGAUGAACGCUGGCGGCGUGCUUAACACAUGCAAGUCGAACGAUGAUCCCAGCUUGCUGGGGGAUUAGUGGCGAACGGGUGAGUAACACGUGAGUAACCUGCCCUUAACUCUGGGAUAAGCCUGGGAAACUGGGUCUAAUACCGGAUAUGACUCCUCAUCGCAUGGUGGGGGGUGGAAAGCUUUAUUGUGGUUUUGGAUGGACUCGCGGCCUAUCAGCUUGUUGGUGAGGUAAUGGCUCACCAAGGCGACGACGGGUAGCCGGCCUGAGAGGGUGACCGGCCACACUGGGACUGAGACACGGCCCAGACUCCUACGGGAGGCAGCAGUGGGGAAUAUUGCACAAUGGGCGAAAGCCUGAUGCAGCGACGCCGCGUGAGGGAUGACGGCCUUCGGGUUGUAAACCUCUUUCAGUAGGGAAGAAGCGAAAGUGACGGUACCUGCAGAAGAAGCGCCGGCU